UCUACAACAAAAAAAAAACUUCAAAACGCCAUAACCACUAUCACUAAUAGGCUCCUACUCUAACUUUGCUAGCUCCUCCUUCAAGAACCUCUUCCUAAGCCUGGGUUUCAAAAUAUAAAACAUUCUGGCGGUUGAGGCAUUUUGGAUCAUCUUCAUAUAUUUCCCCUAGCUUAUACAUCUGUUCAACAUACUCGUGCAUUUUUCUUCCUUGUUGAUGGAUAUUUUUUUUCUGAGUAUUAACUUCUUCAUGUGCUCUGCCCUUGCUCCCAUUGCCUUAGUAACAGUGGGUUGCCUCAUCUUGGAUUGAGAUAUCGGAGUGUUAAGUGCGGCUCGCCCCUUGGACUUGGAGGAAUUGGUUUCGUCUGGGCUAUUGGCCAAUGAGGAGUCUUCUGCCAUAUCAAUUGGGUCCAUUUGGGAAGAAGGCAUUCGCAGAAAAUUAGUUCCAACAUAGUAUUGUCUGGCAAACUCUUGUUUUGAUACUUUUUUAGGUCAAGUCUUAUUCAUAAAAAGGAAUGGCCAAGCAAAAUUUAGCAUACUACCCAUUCAACCUAAACAACGAAGAUAAAAAUAUAAGAAGAUUGGCAAUUUACUCACCGCUCUAUAGUCAUCCCAAAUGGCUGCUUUUGUUAUCA
rnacentral:lncRNA from 1 species